rnacentral:rRNA from 1 species
UACAGAGGUCCCAAGCGUUGUUCGGAUUCAUUGGGCGUAAAGGGUGCGUAGGCGGCGCGGUAAGUCGGGUGUGAAAUUUCGAGGCUUAACUUCGAAACUGCAUUCGAUACUGCCGUGCUAGAGGACUGGAGAGGAGACUGGAAUUUACGGUGUAGCGGUGAAAUGCGUAGAUAUCGAGAGGAACACCUGCGGCGAAGGCGGGUUGCUGGGCUGACACUGACGCUGAGGCGCGAAAGCUAGGGGAGCGAACGGG